rnacentral:rRNA from 1 species
CUACGGGGGGCAGCAGUGAGGAAUAUUGCACAAUGGGGGGAACCCUGAUGCAGCAACGCCGCGUGGAGGAUGACGCAUUUCGGUGUGUAAACUCCUUUUAUAUGUCAAGAAAAUGACGGUAGCAUAUGAAUAAGCACCGGCUAACUCCGUGCCAGCAGCCGCGGUAAUACGGAGGGUGCAAGCGUUACUCGGAAUCACUGGGCGUAAAGGACGCGUAGGCGGGUUGGAAAGUCAGGUGUGAAAUCCUACAGCUUAACUGUAGAACUGCACUUGAAACUUCUAAUCUAGAGUAUGGGAGGGGGAGAUGGAAUUAGUGGUGUAGGGGUAAAAUCCGUAGAUAUCACUAGGAAUACCUAAAGCGAAGGCGAUCUCCUGGAACAUUACUGACGCUAAGGCGUGAAAGCGUGGGGAGCAAACAGGAUUAGAUACCCGCGUAGUC